GAUGAACGCUGGCGGCGUGCCUAAUACAUGCAAGUCGAGCGAACGGACGAGAAGAUUGCUUCUCUGAUGUUAGCGGCGGACGGGUGAGUAACACGUGGAUAACCUACCUAUAAGACUGGGAUAACUUCGGGAAACCGGAGCUAAUACCGGAUGAUAUUUUGAACCGCAUGGUUCAAAAGUGAAAGACGGUCUUGCUGUCACUUAUAGAUGGAUCCGCGCUGCAUUAGCUAGUUGGUAAGGUAACGGCUUACCAAGGCAACGAUGCAUAGCCGACCUGAGAGGGUGAUCGGCCACACUGGAACGGAGACACGGUCCAGACUCCUACGGGAGGCAGCAGUAGGGAAUCUGCCGCAAUGGGCGAAAGCCUGACGGAGCAACGCCGCGUGAGUGAUGAAGGUCUUCGGAUCGUAAAACUCUGUUAUUAGGGAAGAACAUAUGUGUAAGUAACUGUGCACAUCUUGACGGUACCUAAUCAGAAAGCCACGGCUAACUACGUG
rnacentral:rRNA from 1 species